rnacentral:rRNA from 1 species
UACGAGGGGGGCGAGCGUUGUUCGGAAUUAUUGGGCGUAAAGGGUGCGUAGGCGGUUCUGUAAGUCUUAUGUGAAAUCUAUGGGCUCAACUCAUAGACUGCAUGAGAAACUGCAGGGCUUGAGUAUGGGAGAGGUGAGUGGAAUUCCUGGUGUAGCGGUGAAAUGCGUAGAUAUCAGGAGGAACACCAGUGGCGAAGGCGGCUUUCUGGUCUGUAACUGACGCUGAGGCGCGAAAGCGUGGGGAGCAAACAGG